UACGUAGGGUGCAAGCGUUGUCCGGAAUUAUUGGGCGUAAAGAGCUCGUAGGCGGUUUGUUGCGUCGGCUGUGAAAUCCCGAGGCUCAACCUCGGGUCUGCAGUCGAUACGAGCAAACUAGAGUGUUGCAGGGGAGACUGGAAUUCCUGGUGUAGCGGUGAAAUGACGCAGAUAUCAGGAGGAACACCGGUGGCGAAGGCGGGUCUCUGGGCAACAACUGACGCUGGAGGAGCGAAAGCGUGGGGGAGCGAACAGG
rnacentral:rRNA from 1 species